UACGGGGGGGGUAAGCGUUGUUCGGAAUUACUGGGCGUAAAGGGCUCGUAGGCGGCUUAUCAAGUCAGGCGUGAAAUUCCCGGGCUCAACCUGGGGGCUGCGCUUGAUACUGAUUGGCUUGAAUGCGGGAGAGGAUAGUGGAAUUCCCAGUGUAGAGGUGAAAUUCGUAGAUAUCUGGAGGAACACCGGUGGCGAAGGCGGCAUCCUGGACCGGUAUUGACGCUGAGGCGCGAAAGCUAGGGGAGCAAACGGG
rnacentral:rRNA from 1 species